rnacentral:lncRNA from 1 species
UGGUAUUUGGGGCAUUGACUGAAGAUGGACACAUUGACCAAGAGCUAUGCUUGUCUCUUGUAGCCUUUGAUAUGGUUCAAGAUCCAAUGGCAGCUCUGGAGACCCUCCUGACCUUGGGGUUUGAACGCGUUCUGACCAGUGGGUGUGACAGUUCAGCACUGGAAGGACUGCCUCUCAUAAAGCAGCUCACAGACCAGGCAAAAGGCAGGAUUGUGGUAAUGCCAGGAGGUGGGAUAACAGUUAAAAAUCUGCAAAGGAUCCUUGAGGGUUCUGGAGCUACAGAAUUCCACUGUUCUGCCCGAUCUUCUAGAGACUCAGGAAUGAAGUUUCGAAAUUCCUCUGUUGCAAUGGGAGCUUCACUUGCUCAUUCAGAAUAUUCUCUAAAGGUAACAGAUGUGACAAAAGUAAGGACUUUGAAUGCUAUUGCAAAGGAUGUCCUAGUUUAGUUAAACUUGUCUGAGAGACAUGGGUAUCGCAGUGUGAAAGAAGCAGUUGGAUCGACAAUCUCUAUGACAGCACCAACCUUCCACAUGGCCGUGGGUGUUUCUAAGAAGAAAAAGACAUCGGACAGCAAUGUGAUCACUUUCUUUGGUAGUCAUUGCUGUCUGCCAUCAUGGGUGAAUUUAGUCUGUGCUUCUUCCACAAGGGCAGGCUUAGCUUUCAGUGGGCUUAACUAAUGAACUGGCAGUGUUCAGCUGCAAGGCAUGAAACCAGAGUCUGCUUCAGGGUUGAUUUAGUGCCACUUUUGUGCCUUUUUGUUUUGUAAAAUAAAAAUUCUC